rnacentral:rRNA from 1 species
UGGGGAAUUUUGGACAAUGGGCGAAAGCCUGAUCCAGCAAUGCCGCGUGUGUGAAGAAGGCCUUCGGGUUGUAAAGCACUUUUGUCCGGAAAGAAAUCCUUGGCUCUAAUACAGCCGGGGGAUGACGGUACCGGAAGAAUAAGCACCGGCUAACUACGUGCCAGCAGCCGCGGUAAUACGUAGGGUGCAAGCGUUAAUCGGAAUUACUGGGCGUAAAGCGUGCGCAGGCGGUUUGCUAAGACCGAUGUGAAAUCCCCGGGCUCAACCUGGGAACUGCAUUGGUGACUGGCAGGCUAGAGUAUGGCAGAGGGGGGUAGAAUUCCACGUGUAGCAGUGAAAUGCGUAGAGAUGUGGAGGAAUACCGAUGGCGAAGGCAGCCCCCUGGGCCAAUACUGACGCUCAUGCACGAAAGCGUGGGGAGCAAACAGGAUUAGAUACCCUGGUAGUCCACGCCCUAAACGAUGUCAACUAGUUGUUGGGGAUUCAUUUCCUUAGUAACGUAGCUAACGCGUGAAGUUGACCGCCUGGGGAGUACGGUCGCAAGAUUAAAACUUAAAUGAAUUGACGGGGUCAUAGCUGUUUCCU